rnacentral:rRNA from 1 species
UAGGGAAUCUUCCGCAAUGGACGAAAGUCUGACGGAGCGACGCCGCGUGAGUGAUGGAGGUUUUCGGAUCGUAAAACUCUGUUGUCAGGGAAGAACACGUACGGGAGUAACUGUCCGUACCUUGACGGUACCUGACCAGAAAGCCACGGCUAACUACGUGCCAGCAGCCGCGGUAAUACGUAGGUGGCAAGCGUUGUCCGGAAUUAUUGGGCGUAAAGCGCGCGCAGGCGGUCCUUUAAGUCUGAUGUGAAAGCCCACGGCUCAACCGUGGAGGGUCAUUGGAAACUGGGGGACUUGAGUGCGGGAGAGAAGAGUGGAAUUCCACGUGUAGCGGUGAAAUGCGUAGAGAUGUGGAGGAACGCCAGUGGCGAAGGCGACUCUUUGGCCUGUAACUGACGCUGAGGCGCGAAAGCGUGGGGAGCAAACAGGAUUAGAUACCCUGGUAGUCCACGCCGUAAACGAUGAGUGCUAAGUGUUAGAGGGUUUCCGCCCUUUAGUGCUGCAGUAAACGCAUUAAGCACUCCGCCUGGGGAGUACGGCCGCAAGGCUG